rnacentral:rRNA from 1 species
AUUGAACGCUGGCGGCAGGCCUAACACAUGCAAGUCGAGCGGAUGAAGGGAGCUUGCUCCUGGAUUCAGCGGCGGACGGGUGAGUAAUGCCUAGGAAUCUGCCUGGUAGUGGGGGAUAACGUCCGGAAACGGGCGCUAAUACCGCAUACGUCCUGAGGGAGAAAGUGGGGGAUCUUCGGACCUCACGCUAUCAGAUGAGCCUAGGUCGGAUUAGCUAGUUGGUGGGGUAAAGGCCUACCAAGGCGACGAUCCGUAACUGGUCUGAGAGGAUGAUCAGUCACACUGGAACUGAGACACGGUCCAGACUCCUUCGGGAGGCAGCAGUGGGGAAUAUUGGACAAUGGGCGAAAGCCUGCUCCAGCCAUGCCGCGUGUGUGAAGAAGGUCUUCGGAUUGUAAAGCACUUUAAGUUGGGAGGAAGGGCAGUAAGUUAAUACCUUGCUGUUUUGACGUUACCAACAGAAUAAGCACCGGCUAACUUCGUG